rnacentral:tRNA from 1 species
UCCGGUGUGGUUUAGUUGGUUAUAAUUUGGGGCCCUUUUUCUCCCCGAGACCCUGGUUCGAUCCCAGGCGCCGGAC